rnacentral:rRNA from 1 species
UACGUAGGGACCAAGCGUUGUUCGGAUUUACUGGGCGUAAAGGGCGCGUAGGCGGCGCGGUAAGUCACUUGUGAAAUCUCUGAGCUUAACUCAGAACGGCCAGUGAUACUGCAGUGCUAGAGUGUGGAAGGGGCAAUCGGAAUUCUUGGUGUAGCGGUGAAAUGCGUAGAUAUCAAGAGGAACACCUGAGGUGAAGACGGGUUGCUGGGCCAACACUGACGCUGAGGCGCGAAAGCC